rnacentral:rRNA from 2 species
UAGACCGCCUGGGGAGUACGGCCGCAAGGUUAAAACUCAAAUGAAUUGACGGGGGCCCGCACAAGCGGUGGAGCAUGUGGUUUAAUUCGAUGCAACGCGAAGAACCUUACCUGGUCUUGACAUCCACGGAAGUUUUCAGAGAUGAGAAUGUGCCUUCGGGAACCGUGAGACAGGUGCUGCAUGGCUGUCGUCAGCUCGUGUUGUGAAAUGUUGGGUUAAGUCCCGCAACGAGCGCAACCCUUAUCCUUUGUUGCCAGCGGUCCGGCCGGGAACUCAAAGGAGACUGCCAGUGAUAAACUGGAGGAAGGUGGGGAUGACGUCAAGUCAUCAUGGCCCUUACGACCAGGGCUACACACGUGCUACAAUGGCGCAUACAAAGAGAAGCGACCU